GGGCUUGUGGUUUAGUGGUAUAAUACUCCCUUAGCAUCUUACAGCCUCAGUUGAGACUUGUAAAAAACGUGGGAGUGGUCCAGGGUUCGAUUCCCUGCAAGUCCA